rnacentral:rRNA from 1 species
AGGACGAACGCUGGCGGCGUGCUUAACACAUGCAAGUCGAGCGGUAAGGCCUUUCGGGGUACACGAGCGGCGAACGGGUGAGUAACACGUGGGUGAUCUGCCCUGCACUCUGGGAUAAGCCUGGGAAACUGGGUCUAAUACCGGAUAUGACCUGCUCUCGCAUGGGGGUGGGUGGAAAGAUUUAUCGGUGCAGGAUGGGCCCGCGGCCUAUCAGCUUGUUGGUGGGUAAUGGCCUACCAAGGCGACGACGGGUAGCCGACCUGAGAGGGUGACCGGCCACGACUGGGACUGAGACACGGCCCAGACUCCGUACGGGAGCAGCAGGUGGGAAUAUUGCACAAGUGGGACGAAAGCCUGAUGCAGCGACGCCGCGUGGAGGAUGGAA